CCUACGGGAGGCAGCAGUGGGGAAUAUUGCACAAUGGGCGAAAGCCUGAUGCAGCGACGCCGCGUGCGGGAUGACGGCCUUCGGGUUGUAAACCGCUUUCGCCUGUGACGAAGCGUGAGUGACGGUAAUGGGUAAAGAAGCACCGGCUAACUACGUGCCAGCAGCCGCGGUAAU
rnacentral:rRNA from 1 species